UAAAUAUUUAACUAAAAUAACAAAAUUUAUUAUUAAAAAAAUCAAACUCACGAUCUCUUUUAGCUUUCUCCGGUGAAGCUUGUUCCAAUAUGAGAUCUUCAUUUCCAAUCUCAGAUCUUUCAAUUAAGUGAUAAAUUCAUCGAUUGCAGCUUCAAUCAAAUGAUUUCAUCAUAGAUUCAUGGAGUUCAUUACCAAUCGAAUUCAGAUUCAUAGCUCCGUUUUUGUUUCAUGUCCAGGUCAAAUCAGAUGUGAUUUUGUGGUCUCGGUUUAUAACUGCGGCGGAGGGAGGAACAUAGAGCAUUCUAGAUCGAUAGUUCGUGACGACGUUGAAAACAUAGGUGACGAUUUUGAGCCACAGUUCAUCGGAUAAAGUGAAGGAUGGGUGCUUAUCGGUUCUGAAUUUGAAUCAAUGGAGAUGAGAUGCAAUAGCAAAUAUGAAGCGUUGUUGGAUUGUUUUAAGAAUUUAGAGAGAGAAUUCUAGCUUAAUUUGAUGUUCAUGUUAUUAAAUUCGCUAAACAAGAAAGAAAUCAUAACGGUACCUAGUUUAGAAAUGCUACUAAGCUUUUGAUGGAAUUAGACUGAACGUAUACAUACUCUCAAUUGUGUUGUAUUUGGGUAUGAUUGUAAUGCUAGCUAGGUGUCUUGUUUUAGAAGAUGUGGUUCAUGAUUUUGAGGAGAGUGUCGCUAAGGGGCAUGAUGAUGAGAUUCAAGAGGAAGAUUUAGUUGGCUUGUUGGUUGAAUCUAACUUCAGCAAAGAAGGAGCUUGCAACAAUGCUAAGAGAAAUAGUGUCUCUAAAACGAUAAAGUAAUGAUGUGAUAUGCCAACAUGAACUCCUCUAAGUCGGCUAGUAGUGUUGAUGAGGUGGAGUACAUUGGUGGAGAAUCUUCUGGUCCUAGUAAUCACCAUUUUUGGGAUUUCUGAAUUUUUAGGAAUAUCUUCCUGAAAGUAAAGAAGGUCUUCCUAAAUAUUAGCAAUCGAAGGUCUUGCAAGAGUAGUAAGACCAGAUGACAUUAGAUUCAGGCUUCUAAUCUUGCGGGUUCCAAUGUGUUCAGUGAGAAACAACGACAACGAGGAAGUGGGUGGCAGCCACAGAGAAUGUCAAGUUAGUAAAUGAGAAAUCGAUAAAAGAAAUGUUUGCCCAUUCACAUCUUAUGAUCUCACACUGUGUAAUGUGUGUAUGUUUCUAUAUUGUCUCCAACGAUUUGGCUUUGUGGGUACUUGUUAUUUCUUAGUUUUUUUUGUGUGUUUUUGUUCUCGGUUAGAUCUUAAUGAAAUUGGAAUAUUUUUGUUUCAAUUUCUUUACUAGUGUAUACGUGUGUGUCUUUUAUUCAGGUUGUAAUUGUGGAUCAAUGUUUGUUGUCUCAAUAUGAAAUAGAAAAAGAAGGUCGUUGAUGGUUCUA